AAGAAGAAGAAGAAGGAGGAGGAGGAGGAAGUGAAAAGAAGAAAAAAAACCAAAUUUCUAACUUUUUGUUUUUUGACUUUUUGUGGUCUUUCCU
rnacentral:ribozyme from 1 species